AGUGCUCUCUGUUCCACAGUCACAUAGAGUCAGCGCCUCCUCCUCAUGAUAGGCCUUGAGCUAUUUAAUCAUGGUGCCAUAUUUCUCUCCAGGCCUUCACUUCUCUGAACCGAACGUCCCUGGUCCCUCCGAUAUUGCUUCAUAGAAGAUGCUCCUUCCUUCUCACUUUUGUCUGCAUGAGUUCUGUUUUCUCGGUGUACCUUGUGAAGCUUGGGGUCCCCGGUGAGGGGUUACAGAGCUACUCCAACUGGAACUUUGUUUUCCACAACCUGGGAUUUCAGCCGCGUGUUCAGCAGAUGCUCAGAGACGGGCUGCCGUGCCAGGAACUUAUCCCAAUGCUGGGAACACACACGGUGGACAAAAUGGACAAAACCCAGGUAUAGUCCGACAAUAAUGGGAAGAGACUGGAAAGCUGAAGCUCUUCUCUAGAUCAGCAUGGAACAAAGAGUGGUGCGAAAGACCUGGAAAACAAUUUCUACAAAUGAAGAAAGAGGAAGUAACAUCUGGCAAUGAGAUGACCUUCAAAACUGAAGCUUAGGACACAAGUCUCAGAGACAGACCUUGGAAACUUGCUAGAGGCCUCCUUCCCACACAUAAGUAAAAACCUUCCAUCACCCCAUCGAAGGUCCCAGCUGGGAAAUUAUUGGUAGUCUGUGGGCCACUGUGCACCCCACUUUUCCACUGAGGCGAUCCCCUCCCUGACUCCAUGUCAUCAAUCCUAGAGCACAACCUCCACCUGGAGCCAAUCAGAACAUCCCAUCCCUUGGCCACUGCAGUUGCUCUGGAAAGCAUUUACGAACCCAAUGGGGCGCUUAGAGUUCUCCUCGGGACUUGCGUGUGCCCUGACAAGGAGAUGGUUUCUUUCCCUUUGGGGGUUGAUAGCUAUGUACAGUGGCCGUCUUUCUUGCCUAAGGAGAGUGUCUAGCUGAGAAUGAAGUGGAUGCUCCCAGGGAGGCAGAGCUGAGAGAUGGAGAAAGUGACAGAGCCCUUUCCAAGAGGCUGGGCGGCAUGGUGGUGGGCGCUGGGCCCUAGAGCCUGGUGGCCGGCUCCCUGAACACGUUCAUCCCUCUCAGUGCUUUCAUGACCUCAGUUCUAAAGCGGGUGGCAGUUGUGGCCAUCUCAGGAUUGUUGUGAGGAUUAAACAAAUCCAUUUCUAAAAAUCACGUCUGGCUCCUA